rnacentral:lncRNA from 12 species
CUGAAAUACAAAAAGGGAGACUGCAAAUAGUAGAAACAUGGGAAGGCCACAGAGCUGGAGUACUGGAGUUCAGACCCAAAGUGGUGAAAUUAGGAAGGCCAAAGCCCAGCUGCAGAUAACGUUAAUAUGGGGAACAAAGGCUAAGAAGCAGGAACAGCUGCAGCUCAUGCAGGAUGAAAACACCAGGCUUAGCAAGCUGGUGUGUAAGCUAAAGGCUCUGAACUGUUGGAAGUAAAACCCUCAGAAGGCACAAGGAGGCACAAGAACCCUCAGAAGGCUUCUCUGCUAAGCUGAGAGAUGCUGAGAAGAUGAUAUUUUCCUACAAUUUCAUUUGUUACUAUGCCUAAUUUUUUUGUAAAACUUGUGGUCAGGGUGGAGAAGCUUAUGAAAUAAUGGUGAGCCUAUAGGAGUUCUUGGUAACUGCAGAUUUUAGGUUAAAAUUCUAUAUUUUCCCCCACCGUAUUAUGAGUAUAAUGGUGGUCUUCAAAUGGGAAGAGUGUUCAACAAAUCUCUGAUGCUUGCUUGAAGCAAGAGUUUGGGAAGUAUGUGUAGCCUAUAGUAUUCCUAAUUCUGUUAUUGACUCAGAAGGUGAAUUAUGACACUGAAUCAAAAUUUACUAUUUCAUAACUGACCAGAAGGUAUGAAGAGAAGACAGGCAGAGAAAGUGAAAACUGACUAGAUUGUUGUUGGGAAGUCAUGGCAUUUGUUUUAUUUUUUUUUGAACUAGUAUCUGCUUAAACAAAGCAGAACACAG